rnacentral:lncRNA from 1 species
CUGAUUGAGCUGUUGUUGCUGAGAAACAAAAGGUGACAUUGAGCGACUUAACUUUUCUGCUUGUGGAGCAGAAGGUGAGAACUGUUGAUGUGGCGAAUAUGAUAAGCCCUCGCCAUUUCGAUUUGUCGGUUGGAUAGUCCCGGAUUUAGUUGAAUCAGCAGCUGGAGUAUUGGCCUGUGCUGGGGAAUUUGCGCUAACCGGUACGUUUGGCUGAAUCAUAGGAGCAGUUUGAUUAGGUAUCAUUGACAUAUGCUCCUUACCUACAUCCACACUAUAGCGACUAUUCAUAUAGGACUGUGGAGAUAGUGAACCAGUUCCUUGUUCUUGUCGUGCCAUCAUCAAACGCUUCUUGUUUUGUUCCUCCAAAAGCAUAAGUUGCAUAUGAUAGUCGCUAAGAGCAUGAUUACCUUGCUGCAUAUUAGCUGGAUCCAUUGACAUUGAAAAUUCAUUCGGAUUAGGUCCUGAUUGUUGAGGUGGCUGAUUACCAGAGCUAAGUGUUUGAGUAUUACGCUGUAUAGCCAUUUCUCUAGAUUUGGCAAUCUCCAUAGCUUUCUGCUGGCUUAACAUGUAGGACAUCAUGUUGUUUUGAUCCUGCAUUUGAGCAUGAGGACGGUAGUAAUUCUGCAUAUAAGGUGAUUGAGGUGUCAUCCGAGAAGUAGAAGGGUUCAUAUACCUCGAUCCAUUUGCUUGAGUAGGAUGCCGAGGAGCGUAUGACGGCAAAGUGGGAGCUUCAACAGAACGUGUUGGAGUAGCGCGUGAAUGGUCAUCUGCGGAAGGCUUCAUACUUACAGGUAAUGGUGAUUGUAAAGGCAUACCACCUACUUGUUUAACGGGUAUAGGUGUAUUACCUGGCACUUUGAGCCCAGCCUGAUAAGGAAGGUACUGUGAUGGAAUCUGCCCUACAGGUGGAUGUUGCGAAGGAGGUGAAGAGGUAGGAAGCUUUUGAUGGCGAACGUCCCCGAAAUUCCUCAUAACCAAUCCAUUUGGCUGGAGACCUUCAGCAGAAGUAGAUUUGUUCCAUUGCUGUUUUUGAAGAUCGGCGCCACUACCAACACCUCGAAAAUCCACGUACUGCAAUUGUUGAUCUUUGUUCGAUUUCAUGUUAAUAGGAGCAGGCUCCGACAUUUGUUUGCUUUGUCGUUGGAGAUGCUGUUGUUGAGCCUUUAAUUGAUGUAUCUGGGCCGGAGUUGGAGGAUAAAAGCCGUUUCUAGCAGCAGUAGGGUUUGGUCCCAUUCCUGCAGGAUAAGUACGAGGAUCAGUAUCACCAAAAGAAGAAUAAGAAGGGCCCAUCAUUGCAGUGUUCGGUAUAUAAUUAGGUGGGACAGUAAUCGAAGGUGCAGGUGUGUACGGGUUAAAGUUGGAAGAUUGAACAGGGUGGUUCUUUUGAAGUCUAUCUGCUGAUGCAGGGAAAGAGUUAUGCGGAUUUUGCAUAGCAUGAGAAGGUGGGAUAGAAGUCUUUGCACCUUCAAUGGAUGUAGAAGGAGUGCCCUUUGGUAUGGUUGGGUUAUUCAUCACUUGUCCCUGUAAAACAGAAGGAUUUAAAGGAAGAGAAGGAUUGGGGACAACAGCGGAACGAGAAAAAGUGGAGGAAGGAACAGGUUGAGAUGCUUGGAGGUUAGACAUGGGACGGGCCAUUUGUCUUUGAGUAGAAGGAUCAUAUAAUUGAAUAGGCGUGCUAUUUACACGACUUACUCGCGCACUAAAUACAUCCCAAAAAAUAUUAAACCACUCCACCAAGAAACCUUCGGGAACAUUUAUAGAAACUUCAGAAGGGGGAAGGGAUGAUGAUCCAAAUGACUGGCGUUUAUCUAAUGAAAUGUCCUCGUUAGCAUGUACGACAUUGGUUUCUUCCUUUUUGUUGGGAGACGGAGCUGAUGACAUGUGGUUGUAAAGUCGAUCACCAGAAAUCGAUUCAGAAAUUUUGCUAGGAGAGGCUAAAGAUGAAUUCUUUGGGGGGAAAGGUGAAGGUGCGUUAUUGUUGGAAGGUGAAAAGGCAGUAGAUGAAGAAGAUUUUGGAAUUUGAAUUUUUGACUCUCGUAAAAAAGCCUGUGCGGCUUCCUCAAAGUUGUGCUUAACAAAAUAGUCGUAUAUAUAAUAAUCCAGAGACUCGUUUGGAUGCGAAUUACCCAGUGAAGAAGACGCAGGAGCCGAGGAUUCGUAUUGAGAAGCUUUUGCAGAAUGAGAGGAUGGCUCUAUGUCCAUGAAAUCAGCCAUUGUAUUUUUCUUGACGCUAAAUAAAUGUCAUCAAUUUUAUCUAAAAUGGCGAUAUGAAAUCGAAAAAGCAAACUGGGAAUAUGGAGAACGAAACGAAUGUGGAACACUAUAAAGAUGUAAAGGAAAGUGCAAAGAUUUAAAACAAAAAGCUAAGAGAUUUAAGAAAACAAAGAUGAAUUAACAGCGUAUAACACCAAAAAAAAAGAAAAACCAAAGAGGAAAAGUGCAAUGAAAAACCGCAGGUAAGGAUUGAUAUAAAAAUAAUUAUAGGAAAUAAGACCAGAUAUUUUUUGAGGAAAAGGUGUAUUUUGGGAAUGGAUGCUUAAAAUUAUGGUUGAUUAGAAUGCGCGCUAUUCAAAUGGACUUUUGGACCUGGCUCCUUUCUUUGCACAAGCAAGAUAUAUAUGCUUUAACAGAUGAAAAGAUAGGUCAUGGAAGGAUUAAGAAUUCAGUAUUGUCGUUAAAAUUCGAGUGCUCUUAUGCUCAAACGAUAGCGCUGCUGUUGUCUUUAAUGUAGUUCAAAUUGAAUGCACAGUGUAGCAGUCAGAGAGGCUCGAUGCUUUUUAAAAACAAAAUUUUCUUUCUCGUUCCUUGAAUCUUCUCAAAUAUCGAUAUAUUAAAGGCUUAGGCAAAAAAGUAGUAAUAAAGCCGUAAAUAGUCGGUUUUGAGUGUGUGCCUCCAAACCAAAUCCGAAUACUGAGAUAUGUUUAAACUUCGUUAUCACAGCUACUGAACUAGUCGAUAUACGUUAGAUAUCAGCUAUGAAGAUUAAAUAAUUUAAUAUUCUGUAUAUUGCAAAACGAAAGGCAAAAGACUAAGUCACCUUCCGAAAGUAAACAGCUUGCUACAGAUAAUCUUAAGUAGCUCAUUUGAAUUUAAUCGACCAAGCUUCACGUUCCGCUUUUACUAUCAUAUCCCUUUAUACCUUUGUUAGAAUCUAGCUCGCAUCGUUCGAUUAUGAUCAACUAUUUUCUCGCAUUAGUUAAGGAUCGUUGGAUACUUAUUCAUGACUUCUAGCUAUUUAAAAACUUGCUAAGCAAGAGGAGCUAGUUGCCUAUAGAUAGUAAUCAAGAAAUUUCUUCAUUACCAACUUGGAAUCUCGAUUACUGCUUCCAUUUAUUAGAUCCGUCUGAUAAAUUACCCUUCUAAAUAAAUAACAUUGCUAUGUUUUACUUCAUUUACUCGCCUGACAUAUUUGGCCUAAAUAUAAUCGUAAACAGAAUAAAGGCAAGCAUGCUAAAUCAUAAUACCCGAUGACAUUUCAAUAAAUAUUCUUUUAUAGAGGGUACAUUGAAAAUGAUAAUAAUGAGAAAAUUCAGCUUAUGGUGGUGGUCAGACAAUUU